rnacentral:rRNA from 1 species
GGCCGGGCGACGGUUGUCCCGGUUUAAGCGUGUAGGCUGGUUUUCCAGGCAAAUCCGGAAAACUAAGGCUGAGGCGUGAUGACGAGGCACUACGGUGCUGAAGCAACAAAUGCCCUGCUUCCAGGAAAAGCCUCUAAGCAUCAGGUAACAUCAAAUCGUACCCCAAACCGACACAGGUGGUCAGGUAGAGAAUACCAAGGCGCUUGAGAGAACUCGGGUGAAGGAACUAGGCAAAAUGGUGCCGUAACUUCGGGAGAAGGCACGCUGAUAUGUAGGUGAAGUCCCUCGCGGAUGGAGCUGAAAUCAGUCGAAGAUACCAGCUGGCUGCAACUGUUUAUUAAAAACACAGCACUGUGCAAACACGAAAGUGGACGUAUACGGUGUGACGCCUGCCCGGUGCCGGAAGGUUAAUUGAUGGGGUUAGCGCAAGCGAAGCUCUUGAUCGAAGCCCCGGUAAACGGCGGCCGUAACUAUAACGGUCCUAAGGUAGCGAAAUUCCUUGUCGGGUAAGUUCCGACCUGCACGAAUGGCGUAAUGAUGGCCAGGCUGUCUCCACCCGAGACUCAGUGAAAUUGAACUCGCUGUGAAGAUGCAGUGUACCCGCGGCAAGACGGAAAGACCCCGUGAACCUUUACUAUAGCUUGACACUGAACAUUGAGCCUUGAUGUGUAGGAUAGGUGGGAGGCUUUGAAGUGUGGACGCCAGUCUGCAUGGAGCCGACCUUGAAAUACCACCCUUUAAUGUUUGAUGUUCUAACGUUGACCCGUAAUCCGGGUUGCGGACAGUGUCUGGUGGGUAGUUUGACUGGGGCGGUCUCCUCCUAAAGAGUAACGGAGGAGCACGAAGGUUGGCUAAUCCUGGUCGGACAUCAGGAGGUUAGUGCAAUGGCAUAAGCCAGCUUGACUGCGAGCGUGACGGCGCGAGCAGGUGCGAAAGCAGGUCAUAGUGAUCCGGUGGUUCUGAAUGGAAGGGCCAUCGCUCAACGGAUAAAAGGUACUCCGGGGAUAACAGGCUGAUACCGCCCAAGAGUUCAUAUCGACGGCGGUGUUUGGCACCUCGAUGUCGGCUCAUCACAUCCUGGGGCUGAAGUAGGUCCCAAGGGUAUGGCUGUUCGCCAUUUAAAGUGGUACGCGAGCUGGGUUUAGAACGUCGUGAGACAGUUCGGUCCCUAUCUGCCGUGGGCGCUGGAGAACUGAGGGGGGCUGCUCCUAGUACGAGAGGACCGGAGUGGACGCAUCACUGGUGUUCGGGUUGUCAUGCCAAUGGCACUGCCCGGUAGCUAAAUGCGGAAGAGAUAAGUGCUGAAAGCAUCUAAGCACGAAACUUGCCCCGAGAUGAGUUCUCCCUGA